UGAGUUGUUGAACAUGUUGGUGACUACUGAAGGGACCUUGAAGAGUUCAAAAAGCAUGGUUCUCAAUAUUGAGCGGACUUCUACUUUCAAAAAAAAAAUCUAUUUAGAAGAAGAAGUCCGUAAAGAAACAAAAAUUUGAGAGCAAGUCAAACAAGGAAGUGUGGGGUUUGAAGGUAUCAUGCAUGCAGAUUUUUCAAAAUAAUUUUGAAACACACAGUAGAAGAUCAGAUUAAAACUAUUUUAAUCUACACAUGCAUAGAUCUAAUCUU
rnacentral:lncRNA from 1 species